ACACCUCAACUCCCAUGGUUCGCCGUGGUGAGCUUGGACUUUGGGGGUUUUGCUGGCCUACGGUCAGCUCCUCUCAAAUGAAUUAGCCUGCCAGUGUUUGGUGGCAUCACAGGAGUGAUAAAUAUCUACGCUUGCGAUUGCCUGCCAGGUAACCUUCAGCAAUGGGGGUUCACUGGGGCUCAUAGACGUCUCUCCCUCAGUGAGGACAAUUCUUUAAA
rnacentral:misc_RNA from 1 species